UACGUAGGGAGCGAGCGUUGUCCGGAUUUACUGGGUGUAAAGGGUGCGUAGGCGGCUCUGCAAGUCAGGUGUGAAAACCAUCGGCUCAACUGAUGGACUGCAUUUGAAACUGUGGAGCUUGAGUGAAGUAGAGGCAGGCGGAAUUCCCGGUGUAGCGGUGAAAUGCGUAGAGAUCGGGAGGAACACCAGUGGCGAAGGCGGCCUGCUGGGCUUUAACUGACGCUGAAGCACGAAAGCAUGGGUAG
rnacentral:rRNA from 1 species